rnacentral:lncRNA from 10 species
CCACCUAGAUAAUCUCCCUCUUAAGGUCAACUGAUUUCCGAAGCUUCAUUACAUUUGCAACCUUCCUUCUACCAUAUAACAGAACAUAGACAGGAAUGAAUCUCAUCUCAUUCACAGGUUCCACCCACACUCAUCAGGAGGCGAUGACCCAAAGGAAAGUCCUUGGAAGUCAUCUUAAAAUUCUGCUUCCCACUGCUUCCUCCUAACAUUCUGGGGUCCUCCAUCUGCCCUUAGCUUCCUAGAGCUCUCCAGAGAUGGCCCC